GAGUCGUAUGGUUAAUUAUGCUGAAGUGUAAUUAGAGAAGAAAAAAAAUGUGUGAUCGCUAUAUUUUAUAUUACCUUCUUCCCUUUGAAAUAACAAUAUAAUCUCCCUUAGCUCAUCAUUCACUGAAUAUGAAUAAGCUAUAUGUUGAUUUUGUUCUUUUCUACAGAAUACAAAGGAGCAUUUAUUAUUUUUUUUGCUUCCUUAAUUUGUUAUUUUAUUAUUUUAUUGUAUUCUCCUUCGAAUCGAAUGUCAUAGAAAUAGAAAUAUUAACCCCUUUCUUAAUUCUUUUGUACCAAAUACAGAGCAUCGAUCAACUUUCAACUUUCCAAUAGGAAGCUCCACGCAGAAAGAACAAUUCAAAGCCACGGGAAAAAUGUGGAACAGAGUGGGUAUGUGUAGUUACAACGUGAUAUAAAUGCUGUCUUUUUUGUCAUAGAGAUAUUGUGUUAGCUUGAUGGUUGGGAAGGAACUUAAGGGUUAGGAGAGAAGAUGAAGAGAUUAUGGAUUUGAAUAAUCCUCAUUAAUA
rnacentral:lncRNA from 1 species